GUCCCGUAUGCGAAAAACAAAGCUUAGCUAGCAGUAUCCUGAGUAGGGCGGGACACGAGGAAUCCUGUCUGAAUCCGGGUCGACCACGAUCCAACCCUAAAUACUAAUACCAGAUCGAUAGUGCACAAGUACCGUGAGGGAAAGGUGAAAAGAACUGAGGUGAUCAGAGUGAAAUAGAACCUGAAACCAUUUGCUUACAAUCAUUCAGAGCACUAUGUAGCAAUACAGUGUGAUGGACUGCCUUUUGCAUAAUGAGCCUGCGAGUUGUGGUGUCUGGCAAGGUUAAGCAAACGCGAAGCCGUAGCGAAAGCGAGUCUGAAUAGGGCGCUUAGUCAGAUGCUGCAGACCCGAAACGAAGUGAUCUAUCCAUGAGCAAGUUGAAGCUAGUGUAAGAACUAGUGGAGGACUGAACCCAUAGGCGUUGAAAAGCCCCGGGAUGACUUGUGGAUAGGGGUGAAAGGCCAAUCAAACUUCGUGAUAGCUGGUUCUCUCCGAAAUAUAUUUAGGUAUAGCGUUGUGUCGUAAUAUAAGGGGGUAGAGCACUGAAUGGGCUAGGGCAUACACCAAUGUACCAAACCCUAUCAAACUCCGAAUACCUUAUAUGUAAUCACAGCAGUCAGGCGGCGAGUGAUAAAAUCCGUCGUCGAGAGGGAAACAACCCAGACUACCAGCUAAGGUCCCUAAAUCUUACUUAAGUGGAAAACGAUGUGAAGUUACUUAAACAACCAGGAGGUUGGCUUAGAAGCAGCCAUCCUUUAAAGAAAGCGUAAUAGCUCACUGGUCUAGUGAUUUUGCGCGGAAAAUAUAACGGGGCUAAAGUAAGUACCGAAGCUGUAGACUUGCACACAACUUAGAUUAUUUAAGUUUAGAAUAUGAGAAACUAAGUUAUGUUUAGUUAUAUUUUUACUGAUUUUUAUAGAGUAAAGAUAGAAAUAAAACUUAGUAAAAUCAGUAAAAAUAUUCUUAGGCUAAAGUUAAGUAGUUUAAGUUGUGUGCAAGUGGUAGGAGAGCGUUCUAUUUGCGUCGAAGGUAUACCGGUAAGGAGUGCUGGAGCGAAUAGAAGUGAGCAUGCAGGCAUGAGUAGCGAUAAUUAAUGUGAGAAUCAUUAACGCCGUAAACCCAAGGUUUCCUACGCGAUGCUCGUCAUCGUAGGGUUAGUCGGGUCCUAAGUCGAGUCCGAAAGGGGUAGACGAUGGCAAAUUGGUUAAUAUUCCAAUACCAACAUUAGUGUGCGAUGGAAGGACGCUUAGGGCUAAGGGGGCUAGCGGAUGGAAGUGCUAGUCUAAGGUCGUAGGAGGUUAUACAGGCAAAUCCGUAUAACAAUACUCCGAGAACUGAAAGGCUUUUUGAAGUCUUCGGAUGGAUAGAAGAACCCCUGAUGCCGUCGAGCCAAGAAAAGUUUCUAAGUUUAGCUAAUGUUGCCCGUACCGUAAACCGACACAGGUGGGUGGGAUGAGUAUUCUAAGGCGCGUGGAAGAACUCUCUUUAAGGAACUCUGCAAAAUAGCACCGUAUCUUCGGUAUAAGGUGUGGUUAGCUUCGUACUAGGAUUUACUCCGAAAGCGAAGAAACUUACAACAAAGAGUCCCUCCCGACUGUUUACCAAAAACACAGCACUCUGCUAACUCGUAAGAGGAUGUAUAGGGUGUGACGCCUGCCCGGUGCUCGAAGGUUAAUUGAUGGGGUUAGCAUUAGCGAAGCUCUUGAUCGAAGCCCGAGUAAACGGCGGCCGUAACUAUAACGGUCCUAAGGUAGCGAAAUUCCUUGUCGGUUAAAUACCGACCUGCAUGAAUGGCGUAACGAGAUGGGAGCUGUCUCAAAGAGGGAUCCAGUGAAAUUGUAGUGGAGGUGAAAAUUCCUCCUACCCGCGGCAAGACGGAAAGACCCCGUGGACCUUUACUACAGCUUGACACUGCUACUUGGAUAAGAAUGUGCAGGAUAGGUGGGAGGCUUUGAGUAUAUGACGCCAGUUGUAUAUGAGCCAUUGUUGAGAUACCACUCUUUCUUAUUUGGGUAGCUAACCAGCUUGAGUUAUCCUCAAGUGGGACAAUGUCUGGUGGGUAGUUUGACUGGGGCGGUCGCCUCCCAAAUAAUAACGGAGGCUUACAAAGGUUGGCUCAGAACGGUUGGAAAUCGUUCGUAGAGUAUAAAGGUAUAAGCCAGCUUAACUGCAAGACAUACAAGUCAAGCAGAGACGAAAGUCGGUCUUAGUGAUCCGGUGGUUCUGUGUGGAAGGGCCAUCGCUCAAAGGAUAAAAGGUACCCCGGGGAUAACAGGCUGAUCUCCCCCAAGAGCUCACAUCGACGGGGAGGUUUGGCACCUCGAUGUCGGCUCAUCGCAUCCUGGGGCUGGAGCAGGUCCCAAGGGUAUGGCUGUUCGCCAUUUAAAGCGGUACGCGAGCUGGGUUCAGAACGUCGUGAGACAGUUCGGUCCCUAUCUGCCGUGGGCGUAAGAAGAUUGAAGAGAUUUGACCCUAGUACGAGAGGACCGGGUUGAACAAACCACUGGUGUAGCUGUUGUUCUGCCAAGAGCAUCGCAGCGUAGCUAAGUUUGGAAAGGAUAAACGCUGAAAGCAUCUAAGCGUGAAGCCAACUCUAAGAUGAAUCUUCUCUAAGCUCUCUAGAAGACUACUAGUUUGAUAGGCUGGGUGUGUAAUGGAUGAAAGUCCUUUAGCUGACCAGUACUAAUAGAGCGUUUGGCUUAUCUUUAAUAAAGCAU
rnacentral:rRNA from 1 species